rnacentral:rRNA from 1 species
UACGUAGGUGGCAAGCGUUGUCCGGAUUUACUGGGCGUAAAGGGCGUGCAGGCGGUUUGUUAAGUGCAGGGUGAAAGCUCCCGGCUCAACUGGGAGAGGUCCUUGCAUACUGGCGAACUCGAGGGAGGCAGGGGAAAGUGGAAUUCCCGGUGUAGUGGUGAUAUGCGUAGAUAUCGGGAGGAACACCUACGGCGAAGGCAGCUCGCUGGGACGGUACUGACGCUGAGACGCGAAAGCGUGGGGAGCAAACAGG